rnacentral:rRNA from 1 species
GUGAGGAAUAUUGGUCAAUGGGCGAGAGCCUGAACCAGCCAAGUAGCGUGCAGGAUGACGGCCCUAUGGGUUGUAAACUGCUUUUACACGGGGAUAAAGUGUGCGACGUGUCGUUCAUUGCAGGUACCGUGCGAAUAAGGACCGGCUAAUUCCGUGCCAGCAGCCGCGGUAAUACGGAAGGUCCGGGCGUUAUCCGGAUUUAUUGGGUUUAAAGGGAGCGUAGGCCGUCUGUUAAGCGUGUUGUGAAAUGUAGAUGCUCAACAUCUGAAUUGCAGCGCGAACUGACCGACUUGAGUGCGCAGGAAGUAGGCGGAAUUCGUGGUGUAGCGGUGAAAUGCUUAGAUAUCACGAAGAACUCCGAUUGCGAAGGCAGCUUACUAAGCUGAAACUGACACUGAUGUACGAAAGCGUGGGGAUCGAACAGGAUUAGAAACCCGUGUAGUCC